rnacentral:tRNA from 1 species
AAACUGGUUAUGCCAAACAACGGCCUGGCGGGUUCGAUUCCA